rnacentral:rRNA from 1 species
UACGUAGGGUGCGAGCGUUAAUCGGAAUUACUGGGCGUAAAGCGUGCGCAGGCGGUCUGUUAAGACCGAUGUGAAAUCCCCGGGCUUAACCUGGGAACUGCAUUGGUGACUGGCAGGCUAGAGUAUGGCAGAGGGGGGUAGAAUUCCACGUGUAGCAGUGAAAUGCGUAGAGAUGUGGAGGAAUACCGAUGGCGAAGGCAGCCCCCUGGGCCAAUACUGACGCUCGUGCACGAAAGCGUGGGGAGCAAACAGG